AGAAGAAAUCAAUUGUAAUGCCAUAUGAAGAAAAUAUCGCGUCAAAAUGAAAACCGCUUUGAUGGUAACUGAAAAACCUUCUUUGGCAGCAUCCCUGGCCAAUAUAUUGAGUAAUGGACGAUGUAAUAUCAAAAAACGACUGAAUGGCUUUUGUUCCGUCCACGAAUGGGUAGAUCAAUUUAGAUCCAAGACUGUAAAUUUUAAAAUGACCUCUGUAUGGGAACACGUUACGACAGUAGACUUUAUUGGAAAAUACAACAAUUGAGACAAAGUAGAUCUGGCUGAUUUGUUCUCGCCUGUUCAACUGAGAAGAAAGAAGCGGUACCGAAACUGAAAAUAUUAUACUUUUUGGCCAAAGAAGGAGCGCAUUGUGAUUAUUUAUUAUUACGGUUAGAUUGCGACAAGGAAGGUGAAAAUAUUUGCUUUGAAGUUAUAAAUGCAGUGCAGCAAGGAAUGCACAGAAACUUACAUAUAAAUGUAAGGUGCUUGUACACAUCAUAUUUGUAGAUAUUGAAGCUAUUGAUUCUUUUUGUUGUUUUAAAAUGAAGCCAAAAGCGUUGAUGCGCGUCAGAAGUUAGAUUUACAAAUAAGCUGUGCAUUUACAAGAUAUCAAACUAAAUUUUUUCAAGUAUAGAACAACUCUUUGCAUUGUGUCGCGUUAUGAAAUUUGAAUAUCAGGAUAUGAAUAAGUUACUAUACUUUUAGGGUAAAUAUCCUCGAACGGAGACAACAUCGUGUCCUGAAAAUUUUGAUCUGCUGUAAGAUUGUUUCAGAUUAAUUGCACACGCGCGACAGUUACACAUGUAUGAUGCUCGUGUCACGCGGUACUUGAUAUUUGUGUAUUACAAUUAUUUUACUUUAUUUAGGCUGCGUUCGGGGAGCGCACUAUUAGCGUUAUUGCAUC